rnacentral:misc_RNA from 1 species
AAGUCGUAACAAGGUUUCCGUAGGUGAACCUGCGGAAGGAUCAUUAACACUGAAUCUAAAACGAAUCCCCUCAAAAGGAUUUAUUCUACCCACAUUUUGGACGAAUUUUAAAAAAUCGGGAAAAGAAAAAAAGAUUUGGGGGAUGUUUUUGACAUUCCCUUUUCUUUUCUUUUUUCUUCCUACUUUUUUUUUCUAACUUUUUUUUAACCCCAACCAUUUUAAUGCUAUACAUUAGACUGACAUGACAAAGAGUUUUCAUUGAACUUUUUGUUUUACAAAAAAUUCUAAAAACAACUCUUAACAACGGAUAUCUUGGCUCUC